GCUACGGGAGGCAGCAGUGGGGAAUAUUGCACAAUGGGGGGAACCCUGAUGCAGCGACGCCGCGUGAGUGAAGAAGUAUUUCGGUAUGUAAAGCUCUAUCAGCAGGGAAGAAAAUGACGGUACCUGACUAAGAAGCCCCGGCGAACUACGUGCCAGCAGCCGCGGUAAUAUGUAGGGGGCAAGCGUUAUCCGGAUUUACUGGGUGUAAAGGGAGCGCAGACGGCUGUGCAAGUCUGGAGUGAAAUGCCGGGGCCCAACCCCGGAACUGCGCUGGAAACUGAGAAGCUGGAGUGCAGGCGAGGUAAGCGGAAUUCCUGGUGUAGCGGUGAAAUGCGUAGAUAUCAGGAGGAACACCGGCGGCGAAGGCGGCUUACUGGACUGUAACUGACGUUGAGGCUCGAAGGCGUGGGGAGCAAACAGGAUUAGAUACCCGAGUAGUC
rnacentral:rRNA from 1 species